rnacentral:rRNA from 1 species
CAGUAGCCGCGGGAAUACGAAGGGGGCUAGCGUUGUUCGGAAUCACUGGGCGUAAAGGGUGCGUAGGCUGGUUCUUAAGUCAGGGGUGAAAUCCCGAGGCUCAACCUCGGAACUGCCUUUGAUACUGGGGAUCUUGAGUCCGGAAGAGGUGAGUGGAACUGCGAGUGUAGAGGUGAAAUUCGUAGAUAUUCGCAAGAACACCGGUGGCGAAGGCGGCUCACUGGUCCGGAACUGACGCUGAGGCACGACAGCGUGGGGAGCAAACAGGAUUAGAUACCCGGGUAGUCCCUGUCUCUUAUAC